rnacentral:rRNA from 1 species
CGAGAAGACCCCAUUGAGCUUUACUAUUAACUUGUAUUGCCAAAGCAAAUAAAAGGGAACUCUCCCUUGCUUUAUAAUAAAAUUGAGUAGACUAAGUGGGAAAAAAGGGAUGUUAGUCCCCUUUUUAUGGCCGAUUCAUUGGAUUGGGCCCCCAAAAGAUACCUUUUGGGGCCAUUGGCGUAGAGAGGGGGGAUCCGAUUUUCGGAUCGGCGCCGAAGGCGCCCAACCCUACUCGAUUUUUAUGAAAAACCACUCUUUUUAUUAGGAUUACUGGCUAAAACCGUACAAGUAAGGUAGUUUGGUUGGGGCGACCGCCUUCGAAAAAGUAUCGAAGGCGUACAUAAGAUUAAUCCGGGGGGGGUGUCCUUUUUUCACCCCCAAACAAACCGGGGGUAAUGCCCCAAAAAAGAUUAGUUUGACUGAGAGGGCUACAACCCGAACAGGCGCUUGGGGAUCGUUAGGAUCCCUGGGCCCGGUUUAUACCAAGGGGCCUAAUUGACCAGCGGGCUCCUUUUUAUUCCCGGGUCGAACCUAGCGGGUCAUAGUGAUCCG